UUAGUAGAGAAGAUUCUCAUUUUGAAUAAUGGUCUCAUUUAUAUAAUAUCUCUUAGUAUAAUAUAUUCAUAUCUUACCCAGGAAUGAAAAUGCACAAACUGCUAAGAAGGUGAAAAUACUGUGAAAUGUAUGCCCUUGAAACUAUAGAAUUGUGAAAUCAAGAAAUGUGUAAGCUCUAUACCCAACAUGGAGCUCAAACUCACGACCCGGAGAUUCAUUCUUAUUGGACCUGCUCACAUAGAUGGCCCACUCUUGAAGCAGUCACCCUGAAGUCAUCUCUGAAGCCAGCUCUGAUUGGUCCUUAAGCAGAAGAAAUUGUUAAACUUUUUUUGAGAUGAUUGUCUUUAAUUCCAUCCCAUUCCAAUAAGAUGGUGUUCAACUAGUUUGAUUGAAUUAUGAUUAUGACAGUAUUCGUUCUCUUGAGAAGACAUGGUGAAAGGACAG
rnacentral:lncRNA from 1 species